GACGGAGGGUGCUAGCGUUGUUCGGAAUCACUGGGCGUAAAGGGCGCGUAGGCGGCCGCCCGCGUCGGACGUGAAAGCCCGGGGCUCAACCCCGGAACGGCGUCCGAUACGGGGCGGCUCGAGGCCGGGAGAGGGGGGUGGAAUACCCAGUGUAGAGGUGAAAUUCGUAGAUAUUGGGUGGAACACCGGUGGCGAAAGCGGCCCCCUGGCCCGGUCCUGACGCUGAGGCGCGAAAGCGUGGGGAGCGAACAGG
rnacentral:rRNA from 1 species